rnacentral:lncRNA from 1 species
CUGGGCAUUGUUAAACAUUUAAGUGACUAAGCAAAUUUUUAGCUUGAGCUCUAACAUAUACAAUAAAGAGUGCAGUGUAAUAGCAUAUCUCGUGCUCUCUCUAUCUCUUCUGCUCCAAAAACCAAUUCAACUCUUUCUACUACUACUAAGCUACUAACGCAAAAAUUCUUCAAUUCUUGUAAAAUAUUUCAUCAAGUCUACUAGAAAUUGAAGCUCCGAUUGGAAGGGGGAGGAAAUUAAAAGUUUAUUUUCGGCAUGAGGGGGCUGGAUUUGGCUUAUAACAAAUCUGUAAUGGAAUCAAAACAAAAGUUCAAGUAGAUUAUAAUCAAAAAGGUACCUUAUUUAUUUAAUUUGUGUUCAUUGAAGAUUAAGUAAAUACAUGAGUGUAUUAAUCUAAUUAUUAUGCUUGAACUGUUGAUUGAAAAAUUAAGUAUGACAGAUAUAUAUUGCGUGAGAUUAUGCUAACUAGUAAUGGAAAUAUAGAUUUUUGUGGGCAUUGCAAAUGAGUUAUGAAAUAAAAGUUACUAAACUAACUUGUUAAUUAGUUAGUGUAUAUGUAUUCAUGUAUGGUUUUCGGUAAAAAAAUUGGAUUGUUGUGAACUGUUAUUAGAGAAGGAGUAUAGGCUUGGGUUGUGCGGAGUUAUAAGGAUGGCGAAAUGGGAUUGAGACGAAAACAAAACCUCAAGAAAUCAGUCCACCAUUUUGACGCACACAUUAUGUUCGUUAAAUGGCCUUAGAGAGUAAAAUGAUUAAAAGUUUAGAAUUUAAUGGAGCCGAGACCUUAGACGAGUCUGAUUAUGUUAAAUAAGACUUAUUUGUAAAGAAAGUUGGGUUGGAACAAGUCGUGGCGAGUUUUGGAUGUCAAAACGAGAAGUCUGAAAAACUAGUGGACUGCUGAUCCAAAAACGAAAAUUCGGGGUUAGCUAGAUUGUUUAGAAAAUUCUGGGCUUUUGGUAUGUUAUAGUACACUGAAUAAGCUUUCCAUAGACUCCAGAACGGACUAAUUCCGACUUCGGAGCAAAGACCGUUCAAAGUAGUUGCGUCAAAACUGUCCAACUCAGGAAAAUCAAGUGCAGACCUGUCUCUUAUGCGAAUUUUCUGGAAUCGCUCAAAAAUGUUUUGAAACGAAAAAGUUAUGACUGUUUUAGCGAGAGAGUGUAAAGCUGGAAAAAAGUUAAAAACUGUUAUGAUUGGGCAUUUUUAAGGCCUGUUUUGGACUGCCUAAAAUGUCCAAAAUGGGUGGCUUAUAUUUUCUAAAUAUAUUAUCUUAUGAUAUCUACUCCCUCCGUCCCAAAUUAAUUGCUCAGUUCUGACUUUUUAAAGUCAAAUUGACCAUUUUUAAAACUAAUCUUUUUACUAUUUUUGCUAAAAUAUAGGUAUAGAGAUUAUAACCAAAAGAAAGUAUAUACAAUUUAUUACUAACCCCAAUUUUUAUAAUUUUAAAAAUAUAUUUAUAUAUGCUUAAUUAUUAAUUCUAAAAAUAGUCAAUUUGACUUAAAAAAAUCAAAACUGAGCAAUUAAUUUGGGACGAAGGGAGUACAAUAUAUCCAAAACUGGGGUCAAACUAACUUACGGAUAAAAAACUACAAAAUCGCAAAGUGACCUCGUCGCGAAGAGGGCUGCUGCCCAUAGCAGCAGCGUGCAACAACAACGCAUUGCAGUGGCAGUGGUUGGAGGCUCUCUUUUGAGCUCUCAGUCGACGUGGUGAAGUUGCUUAUAUAACUUGGUUAGUAAUUUUUUUAAAUAGGGGAUUAUGUUAACUACCUUGUCUCCAAAAUGUAGCAUAUUAGAAUUCAUGGAUAGAAGUUUAGAAACUAAAGGAGGGAGCAGGGCUGCUGCCAAGGCAGCAACAGUGGGCGUGAGUGGCAUUGGCUGAGAGCUCUUCAUGGGCUUUUAGUCAGUGUACUUGUGUUGCUAUAGAUGCCCAGCUGUUGGUGUUCAAUUAUAAAUGGAUGUAACCUCUUUAAAUUAGUAAAAGGCCAUUAUAGGGGAUGUAAUGACAUGAAGUAAUGAGCAAGGAAAAAAGGGGCUGCUGCCUAUGGGCAGCAGCAGUAUCUAUAUUUAGCAUUGGCUGGGGGGCUUCCUUUGAGCUCUCGGUUAGUACCUCUAAAUUUCUAGGAUUUUCUAGCUAAUGUGCUUUGGUAAUAGAUGAAUGUACCACUUGUAUGAUAUCCAAAACUUAAGACAAAUGAAUCAAAGUUACGCGAAGUGAGGGACAAGGGAAGCAGCUGCUGCCUAUUGGUAGCAGCAAAUAGCUGCCAUAACAGUUUUAGGUGGGCUAUUUUAACUCUAGGAUGUAGUUUGAAGAUCUAACCAUAAGGUUGGGUUAAAACUUCCUAAAUAAACAAAUGUAUAGAAUUUACAUUAGAUUCAUAAUUCAAAAUAAGUGAAUCUACAAUGGAAUGGCUAGCAAGGUAAAUGUUUAAAAGUUGAGGCUAUAAAAUCAAGCAAGGCCAUGAUAGAGGGCUGUUUUGGUAUUAUGAAGAAAAAUGAGAAUAGUUAAUGCAUUAGUGUGUCAAAAUGAAACCAUAAAUCAUUGGGAAGACUAAAAGUUAAUCAUGAAAGUUGAAAAUACCUUCAAAGCAUGAAUGAGCUAAGAGAUCACUUUGUAUGCUAAAAAUUAUGUAAAAGGAUCAUGGAAUGCUCAUGUAUUAAGUUCUUGGUAGGGUAUGUAUUAUAAUUGUAAUGUGUUUCAAUACUACAAGCACAUCAAUGCUUAUUAAAGAGAAAAAUGGUUAAUGUAAGAAAAUGAAUGAGGUAUUUGAAAAAUGUAUAAAAGCUUCUCAAAAGCUAAAACCUAAACUAAUAAACAUGGCCAAUGCAAAUGUUUAUUAGCUAUACAGGAUAUAUAUUAUGGACAUGUGGCUAAUACAUUCAUGUGUGAAUAUGAUUGUAUAGGAUUUGUGAAAAGAAGUGAAGUUGUAAUUGUGCAAAGAAAGGCACAGAGGCACUAUACGACAGUAAAUUUGCAAAUAUUUACAUAUUAAGCCUGUUAAUACAUUAUAAAAGGGUUAUAAACUGUAAAUGUAAUGUAUUGACACUUUAAAAGCCGUGUUGGAACUUUUUGAGAAUGUAUGGCUAUAUUAAGCCGAAACUUAAAAUAUUCAAGAGGAAUAUGGAGGUUUCUCAAAAAUAAGAAUAUCAGAUAUUGAUAUAGUUUAUGUGAAUAUUUAUUAGCUAUACAAGUUAUGUAAUAUGAAUGUGUGACUAAUGUAUGCAUACAUGUGAACAUAACUGUGUAGGAUUCGUGAAGUGAAGUUAAACUAAAGUUUGUAUCAAUGGUCAUUGAACGAGACAAGUUUUUCAGUUCUGUUAUGUUUGUGGAUUGAAUGUGGUUAUGUGCUAAAUUACAUAUCGUGCUCUAUAUAUUGUUAAAGUCAAAAUAUAACUAAGUUAAUUGGGUAUGGAACUCAAUUUAUAUGUGAUAUGUGAAAACACAUGUUGUAUGAUGUAAUGCGAUAAUUGGAAAUGAAUAAUGCAUGAAUUUAUGCAUUGCACGGAAUUAUUGAUGCAUGUAGGAUAUGCAUAAUAAAGGAAAUAUAGUGCAUAUAGAAUUGUGUGCUAUGUGAAAUAUGAUAGACUGUUAAAUUUGCUGGGCUGUCAAGCUCAAUCUUGCAAACACAAACUUUUUGCAGGUUAAUGAUGUUAAGCGAUAUUACUUGCUAUACGGAUGAUGAAGAUUGAACGAUGUGCAAAAUGAAUACAUUUCCUUGAAUUAGAAAUGGUAUAAAUCUAUGAUUGAUAGUUUCGUCAAAUGUAAUUGGUAGUUAUGUAUAGUUUGAAAUGUUGAAUGGAUAAAGAAUGUUUAUCUUGAAACGAGAACAAAUAUGAUUCUGAAAUAAAUGAAUCAUCGAUAGAAAAGAUAUGAAGUAUUGAGACUUAAACUUUUAAUACGU